rnacentral:lncRNA from 1 species
GAAGUUUCCAACUCAUGAAAGGGUGUUAUUGACAGUCACAGUAAGACGUUUGGAAUCCACAUGUAAACUCUGUGAUGAACAUGGCCCCGCACAGAGGACCUGAGACAUUUUGAGGAGGGCCUUCUACGUUUCUUCUCCCAGCACAUGAGAGAUUCAGAAGGAACUACAGAUGCACCCAUGGGUGCCCCAGGCAGAAAGUGCCAAAGAUGAGAAUGAGAUUCCAACCAGGCUGCUGAGAGAAGCCCCUUUCAUGGAUAUUGAGAAAAAUAAGAAAAAGGAAAAUUGAAAAGCAAUUAUUUUGAAUUACUUUCUUACAUCCUUGAGUACACUAAUUUCUUUGGGGGAACAAGAAGAGAUUCAUUUUUGAGGGAAGGGGUUGAUUUCUCCAUGAGAACAAAGGAUUAACUUAAUAAUGGGAUAUGAGGAGCCGAGGAGUUUGCCUGAUUAUAUAAUAAAGGCAGUAUCUUGUCCUGGGUUACGUUUAAUUAAAAGAAUAUUCUGUUAUGUUUUGGAGGCUUCUGAAGAAAAUAAUUAAAAGAUAUUUAUGAAGUGACUUGGAAAUAUGAACUGCUCACUACCUAGGUCUAGAAGAUAUACAAAAGCAAUGAUGACGACGUAGCAGUGCUUUUUCAAAGGCAUAUACAAGACAUCUCACCCUGUGAUUACCUUGUCCUUUAAGGGGAACAGUAACCUCUCAGAUAAGUCAUUGGAUUAAGCAGUUUUCUGCAGGAGGAGCUCAAGAUUCAGAUAUGGCACACAAAAGGCAGAUUGUCUAGCACAAAUCGAGGACAUCCAAUUGGAUCAUAAUACUAGGGAGUGGAGUUUUCAAUGAAAUAAGCAGUUUCUGUUUCUCUGUGUGUGUGUGUGUGUGUGUAUGCACAUGUGUGUGUGUGUCUCUCUUUGUCUCUCUCUGUCUCUGUGUCUCUGUGUGUGUGUGUAGGCACGUGUGUGUGUUUCUCUCUCUCUGUCUCUCUCUCUCUCUCCCCCAAACUCCUUUCUCUCAUCCUCCCUCCCUGCCUUUGUCUCUCUCUCUCUGGCUUCAUUUUUCUCUAUCUUGGAUCCUUACUUCUUCCUUUUGGUUUACUUCCUAUUGCUUUUUCUCUAUUUUACCUCUUCCCUUGGAGCAGGUGGACUAUGAGCCAACUGUACAGAUUCUCCAGGAAGAAAAAUAUUCUUCCUUCUGUUCCCCAAGUCCCAAGAACUCAAGGGAGAACAGAGAAAAAGAAGCUUAGAAUAGGUGACUGGAGUCUACUUUGUUGAAGGCUGCAAGCAGAACUUUCUUUCCCUUGGAUUAAUCUUUUGGACCACACAAAAGAUAAUAAAACUCCUGCCGAAGAUGAAGGUUUGGCCCUGGCGAAAGAAGUCAAAAGAGUCCCUUGGCCUGUUCCUGGUCAAGGGUCUUGGGCUAGAUGCACAAAGGGAGUCACUGAGGCUCCCCUUUCAUUAGUUCCAGUUCACUGCGUUUGGAAACAAAAUCUCUAUCAUAGGAAACUACAGAAAUAGUGGGGCCAAUUCCCCAGCUGAAACUGAUUGUAGAGCUUCUUCAGAAAAGCCACAAUAUCAGCAGUGCUGGUUGAAAAUGCAGAGAUUGGGGCCAUCUCUAUUUAUCUCCAUAGGACAUACAACAAUUAGCAACCAAUGUCAGUGCCCUCUGCUUCACCACUAUUUCUUUAUUUCUUCUUCUUGGACUCCUGGAGUCAUUUAGUUUACUAAAGUGUAUGCAUUAUGUUGCUUUCUUUGGUAAUUAAAUAAAUGAUAUGACUGGUCUGUCUAUCCUGAUCAGCAUAUCUUUUCUGUGCACUGGUCAGAGCCACAUUUUUUACCUAAAAUACCUAAAAAGACUGUAAUUUUUAUGAAAAUGCAAGAUUUUUCAUAUGUUCUACAUGAGGAUAUCUGAAACUUGACCCAUACUGUCGUGUUGGCUCAAAUAAAGAAAUAAAGCCCAAUAUUCUUGGUGAGUUGCAAAUGACCACUGAUUUGCAAAAUCUGAUAUUGUUCUAUUACACUUGAUUUUUAAAAAUCAAUUUUAUUUUCCUGAGUUGUGCAUUAAUAAUAAGGUGAAAGCAAUGUUUUGUUAUUUUUUUUACUCCUUUGUUUUAACGC